GGGGCUGCAGAGAGGCGUAGCAGGGUUAGCAGCUUGGAAAGAGAGGAGGGGGACCGAGGUCGUUGCAGUUGGUACCUGGGGGCCCAGUGGCCCGUGAACGGAAUUCUGGAAGCUGUAGGAAUUGUUUGGAAAGACUUGAGGAAGACCUCCCACAUUCUUCUGUUGACUGUAUUCCAGCAUUAAGAGAGCCUGGAGAGGAGAAGCCUGCUCCCCAUGAAGAGCCUGAUGCAGGACUCAAUGCCAGGACCCUGGGAUCAUGACCUCAGCUAAAGGCAGAUACUCAACCACUGAGCCACCCAGCUUCAUAAAUGACUGACACCUUCAUCUGUCAGACACUUGGGAGAGGCAUGUUCUCCUAAGGUCCCCUCCUCCAGGAAAUGAAAGCAGCUACCUCAGAGCAACAGAUGAGAAUAAUCCUUCCAAACAGAAGGAUUAGCAGAAGUAAGCAUCUGGAAGAAUGAGCCAUGUGUACAGCCUGUUGUUAUCAGUCUCUACUUUUUGUCCUGUUUUUCCAUGAGAAUGUGAAGGAUGAUCCCCCAGGUCAGGAGGUACAGGGCAGUAGAAGAUGGCACAAACAAUGAAAGGCCUCAUUCCCAAGGAAAUUGCUACCUGGAAGAUGGACAACAGAACAGUUCCUAAAGAAGCUAUAAGCAACGUUCCACGGGAGUCAAAAGAAGGAGAGGGUGGUAUGGUACAAUGGCAAAGAGCAUAAGAUCCAGAAUCACAGAUGUCCACUGGCAUAACUUAGACAGGUUAGCUGUACUUAAGAGAAAACUGGAGAUGAAAAGAGACUCUAUAUCAUAUGGUGGAUGCGGGUCUGAAGUGAAUUAAUCCAUGCAAAGCACUUAGUACAGGGCCUAGCCCAUCACAGACCUAAGUGUUAGCUCCUGUGGGGCACUGCACUCCCAUGGGAAACAUGGGAUUGUUGCUACUUCUUGCUGUCUGUAGCUUACACUUUUGAAUAUUCAGUGUUUCAGUUUUUGCUUAGCUCUUAACUUUUUAGAAUCUGAAAUAUAUAGCUGUUAAUAACAACCAAGUGGAGGACAGGGGGAAAAAAAGAGUAAAAUAAUUUUUGAAACCAGUGAUCCAAAGCCAAGAAGGUUUCUUCCUUAGAAGAAAGAUGGUUCACCCAAGAUACGGGCUUAUUAUCCUCAACAGUCUCACUAACCUGAAGGCUGGGAAUGAAAAAAAAUGUGUCUUUGGAGUAACUCUGUUUGCUGUAAGGAUGCCAAUCUAGAAGAAGGGUACCCGAGACUUUUUAUUUUGCAUGCAUGAAACCAAAGGAUCAUUGAAUGGAGAAGAAACAUUAGAAGAACUCAAUAUUAAAAUAACCAGGUCAGUGCCAAAUAUACAUGUCAAUACUUUAAGAUUUCAUUCCUAACAGAAGAUCUAUGUUGGAAAAAAUGAACCCUGGCUUUUCCCAGAUGGAGAAAAGACUCUAUAUGUGUCAUGACUGGAGACUUACAUUUUCUUGUAACAAAGUGCAAGCAUAGUUAAUCAGAGAAAAUAAGUGGUCUGACCUGGACACACAAUAAGGCCCAAAACCUAAUGAAAAAGUCUUAUUGUUUCUUUUAAUCAGCAGUUUAUGGUAGUACAUGCUGGUACUUAUUCAAAAGAAACCUGUAGGCAAAACCAAAGCAGAACAAAGCAAAACAAAACAAACUGGUAGAAAUUCCCCACAUAUAGAUUUAGGGAGUAGCUACAAAAGACUUAUCAAGAAUUGUGAUAAGUAGGAAAAAGGGAAAACCAAUAGCAUAUUAGAAGGCAUGCCACUUAUUUGAUGAUUUAAUACACAAAAUCUUAAGAACUGGAGUUAGUUCCUCACUGUGAAGUAUGUCAUGAGGUCAUAGGAAAUUAAUCAUCCUAGGUGUAAUUAUAUAAAAAAUAGUGAAAGGGAAUAAAGUGGAAAGGAGAAAAAAAGUGAGUGGGAAA